UCCCGCUCAUAACACGCACACGCCGAUCCCCCCAACACCACCACCAUGCCGCCAUAGCUUCGCCCACCAGCCCCAUGCCCACCGCACUGCGCCCCUUACCAAGAGCCACUGGCUCAGCAUAUGCCCGAUGCGUGACGUGGUGAGACGCAGUGCUGCAUCACAUACUGGAGAAUGCCUAACAGCAGCCAGGACGCUCACGGGGCGACCAUCACACGCAGGUCUGAGACGAGUGCGAUGUCACGUUAUGAAGCCACCGUAUGCGUGAGCGAAUCCACUCUUCUGGUGGCCGGUGCGGGAGGAAAGCCGGGCGAGUUCAACAGCCGCACGCUCGAUGGACGAUUAGGGUCAUGCGACAGAGGCACUGUCGGCAUUUUUGCGCGAGACGUGUUUCUCCCGCACGCGCAUGCAGCGGAUGAUCGGCCACUGAGCCAGCGUCGACGACGCACAGCGGACAUCCCUCGAACGCCGUCAUGCGGAGGGCAGUCGGCGCGAGCUGCGUGUGCAGAACGAAGCGGCCUUUAUAUCCGAACACAUGACCAAUGCCGCUCAGCGGGGCCGUCCGCACUCGGUGUGCUCCAGAUGAGCAGGUGCAGUGGCUUUCCCUAUGACACCAUGGAAGCACGGUCACAACGCGCCACCCGCAUCUGCAUUCCAGGUGGCGACGGAGCCUCUUGCGGGGGACUGCCAGCAUCGUGGCCAGGUUUUGCAAGCCUUGAGCGGACUGCAUCGAGCAUAGGGGUGGGUGGGUGUGCGAGGCAAGCCCUCUGCAAGAUGGCCGACGCCGAGAGAGCGUACUCGAUCAGGCAGGCUCGCUUGAACGCCGAGCUGGUGACCGCGAGGGCGGACUUGGCGGCGUCGACUUUGGACGUCACUCAGCACGCAUUUUCGAUGUGCCAGCGGUCGAUUCGUCAUGUGCGCGAUGCGACCCGCCGGGAAGACGUGACGGGGGCCGGAGUGGCGCUUCGGGCUUCAAAACAUCUGUGCGGGUCCCAGGGUCCUUGCAAUCCAGGCGUUGGAUGACGGCUUUACCAUCAAGCAAGCGUGUGACCGACUGCCGCAGCUCAACCGUGACCCCCCCCCCCAAGACACGCGCUGGGCUGGGAGAGAGGGGACUUCGUUUUAAGAGUUUGGGAUCGGGUGUUGGAUGCAACAGGUGCUGCAGAACUGCCCCGUAGCGCCGCCGCGUCCGUUGAGGCCGAGGGUGGGGCGGCGCUGGUGACCGAUGCCUCGCUGCCACACACGCUUUGGGGUGCUCUUCUUUUUUUUACUAUUCUGCUACAGGCAGAAGCGGCCACAGCGGUUGUCUUUUCGGCCCCCGAUGGCCACGUGUCCGGUGAGAGGCGGAGAUGCACCCCGCUUCAUACGGCUCACAGGGGUUCGCUCCGCCUCUCACCGGGCACGUGGCCAUCGGGGGCCGAAAAGACAACCGCUGUGGCCGUCAUCCGAAGGCACAGCAUCGAUCUGGCCGGCUUUCGAACUGAGCUUUAUUGCGCACUGAGUAUGCUACGUAGCCUCGGCUUUCAGUCUACUGUGAAGCGGAUGCAGUCAGUGGACAACACGGAAGGGUGCCAUACAUCGCGGGAUGCUCUUGGCGCACAGGAACGUGGCGGGAGAGGUUGGGCUUGCGAGGGGGGAGGGAACGCUGAAGGGGCCUCUAAACCGCCAAACCGUGGCCUUGUCUCCCCAAGAGAAGAUAAUGUCAGGCAUCCGGAUGAGCUUUUCGGACACUAGCGCCAAGAAGCGUCGCCCGCCUCCAGGUGGCUGCGGCGGGGGCGCCAUCCACGCUCCUUGAGAGCAGCCCCUUUUUUGACGAACUCCUCAUUCCCCUUUUCCUUCUCUUCCGCCUUCGCCUCUGCAGCUGCGCAGUCGCUAAACAUG
rnacentral:misc_RNA from 1 species